AGUCAUAUGCUUGUCUCAAAGAUUAAGCCAUGCAUGUCUAAGUAUAAGCAAUCUAUACAGUGAAACUGCGAAUGGCUCAUUAAAUCAGUUAUCGUUUAUUUGAUAGUACCUUACUACUUGGAUAACCGUGGUAAUUCUAGAGCUAAUACAUGCUAAAAACCCCGACUUCGGAAGGGGUGUAUUUAUUAGAUAAAAAACCAAUGCUCUUCGGGGCUCCUUGGUGAUUCAUAAUAACUUAACGAAUCGCAUGGCCUUGUGCCGGCGAUGGUUCAUUCAAAUUUCUGCCCUAUCAACUUUCGAUGGUAGGAUAGUGGCCUACCAUGGUUUCAACGGGUAACGG
rnacentral:rRNA from 1 species